CGCUCUGCGCAACCUCCCUGGGCGCCGCGUCUACGGGUCUGGCGUCGGGCAGCGUCUGCCAGUUGCCCCUCGGCCUGCCUCGGCCUCUGGGCUCCGCGGCUCAGCGUCCCUGCUCGUGACCCUGCCAUAGGCUGCCGCGCGCCCCCACAGGGCGGAGGCCGGGCAGGAGCCAGCCCCCUCCAGGACUGCAGCUGAGAGCUCGGCUCACCUGGCGGUCGCCCGGGAAACAGGCCGUGGCCCAGGCAGCAGGACUGCGCAGGUGCUCUUCCGUGAGCCAGGCGCCAGGAAGAAGGGCUAUGCAGUGAUCCCAGGCCCUUUAGGUGAAUUUUGGAGGAUCCAGAGGGGUAGGCAAGAGAGAGAAGUGUCCACCACCAAGGCAGGUGCAUGGUCCUGGCCCCACCAGAGGACUGUCACCCUUGCUGGGAAGAGGGGAGAACUGUGUGGCUCCAGCAUCAGGAGCCAAGAGAGGCAAGAGGAAGAAGGUCACCACCCCUGAACAAGACUGGCUCUUCUAAACAUGGGAUUCUAAAAAGUGGCCUCAGGCUCUGCAGUGACCAGAACUAAGACUUGUAUCCCGGAAUCUGCUGCUGCAAGUUCUUCCCUCCUUUGGGAUAAUUUCAAAAGCCCAAAUCAUUUUCAUUGAGAGCUCCCUGGGCCUCUUGCCCUGUCCCAUGACACUCUUGUCCUCACCUACCUCUCUGGAACACAGGGCUGCUCCGAACAGGGGCAUGGCUUGGUGCAAGGUACAGGAAGGAACACAGGGCAGAUCAGGAGGUUGGAGCUGUGUUCCCACCCCGCCCCUCACUGAGCAUUCACCCCCGACUUCUCUGUAGGAUGACAUGACAGACUGGAUGGGUGAGAGCCCUUUGUCCUCUGGGUUUCCCAUCUUGGUAUUAAGGAAUUGUGUUCCUUUCUUCUCUGGGUACAGAUUCCCAGGAACGACAUUUUACAAAGCAGGUGGGAAACCCACAGAAGGUAGCUCAACUUCAGUCUGACUUCUCAAAAGUGCUUCCUGGAUUUUCUUAAAGAUCUGCCAGCUUUUUAUGGGCACAGGGAACAGUGUUAAUUUGUGUAGUUUCUUUAAAACUCCGAACGGAUGGCUUUGGGGUUAAGCAAAUGGACAUGACACGUGAUUGCUUCUAAUGAUUUGCAACCCAAGAAAUUUGUUUAAUAAGCCUCUCUUUCCUAGCUACUUUGUGACAUUAGAGACCAUUUACAACAAA